CUGUGAUGUCUAGCAUCUGUUUCUACUCUGACACUCUGUGAUUCCACUGCCGUGAUUCUGGCUCACCGAACGAGGCUGGAACUCCUCUCUUGGUGUUCAAGGUGGCCCCAGCCUUGCUUCCCAAGAUCGCCUGAUCCACUGCUCUCCUGCCAGGAGUCUCUCCAACCAGUCACCAGACUGGAGACCUGCCGUGAAUUCUUCUCUCUCCCUGGCUUAGAGAAGGAGCUUUCCUAGACGGCAGACCCACUCCUGGAGUGUGUUCAACUUGUGUCAGUAGCAGAAGAGUUCAUCAGCCCAGCCUUUGUAUCAUAAAACUCAUCUGACACCCCUGAUUCUUCAAACUUUUCAAAGCCAUUUCGCAAACCUCGCUCGAAGGAUCCCCUCCGUGUGUCUGAGCAGCAGCUAAGGCGGAGGGCAUGCCCACCCGACAGGUGGAAAACCUGAGGUCCAGGGCAGAGGGCCUGAUAUUCAAUAAAGAAAGGUUUCUGGAUGGGGAGGUGCAGGCACAGUGAUGUUUCAUGACUCAGAGCACAUCGGCAGCUGGACAGUAACUAAUGAGAGGCUUCUGACCUCUGUUCUAUGAUGUUUUCAUUCAUUCAUUCCUCAGCUAUUUAUUCAACUU
rnacentral:lncRNA from 1 species